GUAGUCAUAUGCUUGUCUCGAAGAUUAAGCCAUGCAUGUCUAAGUAUAAGCAAUUAUACCGUGAAACUGCGAAUGGCUCAUUAAAUCAGUUAUCGUUUAUUUGAUAAUACCUAACUACUUGGAUAACCGUGGUAAUUCUAGAGCUAAUACAUGCUGAAAAUCCCGACUUCGGAAGGGAUGUGUUUAUUAGAUAAAAAACCAAUGCCCUUCGGGGCUCCUUGGUGAAUCAUAAUAACUUAACGAAUCGCAUGGCCUUGCGCCGGCGAUGGUUCAUUCAAAUUUCUGCCCUAUCAACUUUCGAUGGUAGGAUAGUGGCCUACCAUGGUAUCAACGGGUAACGGGGAAU
rnacentral:rRNA from 1 species